AGAAAUCAUCCAACCCUACAGGUAGGAGCAAUGGAGAAAAUUUUCAAGAAAAAACUACUCCAGUUCAACUCAUACCUUCCUUGGUGAGAUCACCUUCUUCCCGAAGAGGCCUAAAUGGGACAAAACCUGUCCCUCCCAUACCAAGGGGAAUAAGCCUUUUGCCUGAUAAAGCUGACUUAAGCACAGUGGGACACAUAAAGAAGCAGCCUGAUGAUAUUUGGAAAAGUGAAAAAGAUAAUCUUACAAUUGAUCUUUCAGAAUUGAAUUUCAGAGAUAAAGAUUUGGAUCAGGAAGAGAUGCAGAGCUCUCUUAGGUCCCUUCGUAAUAGUGCAGCUAAGAAAAGAGCCAAACUGAGUGGCAGCAGCAGUACCUC
rnacentral:lncRNA from 1 species